ensembl:snoRNA SNORD31 Small nucleolar RNA SNORD31
AUCACCAGUGAUGACUUGAAUAAUGCCGUAGUCUGUUCAAUGAGUGAAAGGUAUUUUCUGAGCUAUG